UCUUUUCCUUGUGUGCCAGCAGCCGCGGUAAUACGGAAGAUGCGAGCGUUAUCCGGAUUUAUUGGGUUUAAAGGGAGCGUAGGCGGGCUUUUAAGUCAGCGGUCAAAUGCCACGGCUCAACCGUGGCCAGCCGUUGAAACUGCAAGCCUUGAGUCUGCACAGGGCACAUGGAAUUCGUGGUGUAGCGGUGAAAUGCUUAGAUAUCACGAAGAACUCCGAUCGCGAAGGCAUUGUGCCGGGGCAGCACUGACGCUGAGGCUCGAAAGUGCGGGUAUCAAACAGG
rnacentral:rRNA from 1 species